UCUACUUGACGCUCCGUUGCGAGAUAUCUUCCGUUGACGUCACUCCCGUCCACGAGAAAGCGCUAGAGACCGAACUCCGGCCAAACCGGAGAAGAAGAGCGACCGCACCAACAUGGCGAUCAAACAGGCAGGGAGAAACGCCAAUGUUGUAUCCUUUGUGAAAACCCACCGAAAAACAAGAGUAAACAGUGAUGAGAAGGACGAGGCAUAUAGCACAGUCCAGCUGCUAUAACCCAGACUAUAACGUCACCGGCAGAACAAAAGAGUGGUAAAACGAGCAUCGGGACAAAGCUAGAGAUACAGUAAAUCCGCGGAGGCACACCGAGCUGCAGAUACAGUGAUCGGCCUGCUGAAUGAAGCACACCUUAAUAAUUCAAGCUCGAGCUGAUUUUCAUUCAAGAGGAAAACACCGGAAACAAAAGAGACGGACAACAUUGGUUAUGUCAGGCUCUUAUACGCCAGGCAGCCUACGCAAUCGGACAUCUGUCGAGGUUUUGAAGAGAUCUCAAAUGGUGGUUGGCGAAAGUAAAAUAAUAUGUGCAUUUAAUUAAUCUACAAUUAAAUAAUCAGUCAGCACAUUCAUGAAUAGACUAUAUGUAUUCUUAAUGUUUUACUAUUCAACUAUUAACCAUAUUAUCAAGCUUCAUGUUUAAAAGAAACAUCUGAGACAUAUUAGUGUAAGAAUUGAAAUAUUGCAAAUAUUCUGAUAUCUUUGACAAUUCAAAACAUGAGCUGAAAACAGAGACUGGUAACUUCACAACCCA